rnacentral:tRNA from 1 species
GCGGCCGUGGCGUAAUCAGGCAGCCGCGCGGCGCUUAGGCCGCCGUGGGAGAAAUCCCGUGUGGGUUCGAGUCCCACCGGCCGCA